AAUCACACACACAAGGUGUGUGUCUGCGUACGAUCGCAGGAGAAGGGGAAAAAGGGGGUGUAAACCCUAACCACAAAAAAAAUCAUCAAUUGAAAAGGAAAUCGCGGGUUGAUUGUGUGCAUGAACCAAGAAUGAUGAUCCCUUAAGCGUUUCUCACAUCAAGAACGUGUCAAGGAGAGGUCAAGCAUAGGAGGAUAACGGGUCAAGAUAAGGCAAGGUGACAAAUACACUUAUUGGAGUACUCGAGGUAAGUGAAUUUCGAUUCACUUUUUAGUAGGUUUAAUAGAUUUUAAUACUUAUGUUUACGAAACAUCAUGAAAGAACAUGUAAUAAUCAGAAGUACAAAGCCAAUAAUGCCUCAUUAUUGAAGAAGGUUGUAUUUAAGCCGAAAGUAAAUUGGUGGGUUUAAACGGGUCGAAUUUUAUGUGCAUAUGUUGCGUAAUGUAAUGAAAUUCGUUAUGGUUAAGACCUUGGGUAAGAAUUUUUAGUCAUUAUGUAAGGGGAACAUUUCCCGGACCAUUAGGAACAAGUUUUAUAUGAUUCGGUUGUCGGUUAGUGAAUGAACGGAUUGUUUCGUGUUAGUGUAGGAAAUUUUAUAAGUAUAUGUGUAUAGGAAUCCAAAGGGCACGUGGGUUGAAUCAUAGAUUGUCUAUACUAUGUAAAGUUGUGAAUGUGACAUUCCGGCAUAAACCUACAUGUAAAAGAAGCUUGUGUAUAUAUUCGUGAUUAAUUGAUUGUGCGUAGGAAGGAACACUGGCAUGUAUGAAGGUACGCAUGUAUAUAUAUAAGUGUAUAUAUAUAUAUAUAUAUAUAUGUAUGUAUGUAUGAUAAUAAGUACGUAGGUGUGAAUGUGUGUGUGUGAAUGAAUGUUCAAUGCUUAAGACAUAUGCAUGAACGUUAUCAAAGUGUUCGAGUAUUUAUGGAUACUAAUGAUGUGCGUUGAGUUGGAAUGUAAUGUAGGUAUGGGAUCGUUGGCUUCAUGAAGAAAUGGAGCUGGAUUUGGAUAAGAGUAUUUAAGAAAGCGCUUGGACAAUUCCACGACUACUUUAUAGAAUGCUCUACGAAAUUCUAUUAUAUAGUUUAAUGUUGUAUGGUAUGUUAAUGACUAAUGGUUUGGUUGUACGUGGUGUCCACAGGUAUCGCUUGGGUUUUCUCUACAUUUAUUGAAGUGAAGCGGACUUAGUUCGAGUUGAGAGCAAGGAUUGUACGGGGUAGAAUGGUCACAUAGUGUAACUCAUAUAGGUUUUGAAGUAUUAACGUUAUAAAUCCGUUUUAAUGAAUAUAUGGCAUUUCGCAUUUGAACCUUCAUGUGUUUGAUAUGUCUAUUAAAGAACGAAAUUUUUGGGCUCUUGUUUUCUGCUGCGUCGUAUUUUAAGUUAUUACGCGUUAGUCUUACAGGGAAUUGUUCUUAUUACGAACGGGUCAUGCCCGAAUUUUGUUAAAUAAUAGUAUGAUAAUAUUACAUUUUGGAAUGUGUAAUUUGGGCGUAACAAGUUGGUAUCAGAGCCCAGGUUUGAGAGAAUCAAGUAACGGGAGGUAAAUACUUGAACUCAAACCGGUGGGCUCUCGUGACCAAGAGCCCGUACAAUCCAAGACUCGAUCGAGGCCUAAAGGCAAAAGCGAAUGUAAGUAAGUAUUAGAUUAUGUAACUGAAGGAAACUAAUAGUAUGUUAUGUGAAGGGUAAGCGCAAUUGUUGGGAGAGAUGAACUGUGAAUGCGGUCUGGGACCGGCAUCAAGGCAAGUAAUGAGGCGAAUUGACCCCAGGUACGUAAAUCUAACGUGUGGGCGUAUGAAAUGGUACAGUUAACUAAGUGAAAGAAAAAUUUUAAACAAAUUAUAAUAACGACAUGGUAAAUAAGUUUUGAAAAUGUCACACAUGCCGAAACUAAAUCCUUCGGACAUAAGGUGGCGAUUACGCGAAGACACGAAACUAGUACAUGGAAGGUGUACCUGGCCAGUACACAAGAAACGUAUGACGUUCGUGAGACCGUGAUAAUUGUUACAGGUAUGUCCGAUAGAAUUUGGUAGCGGCUAGGUGCGUGGGUGAAAUGGGUAGUAAGACUCUCGGGAGGUUGAGAGUACUAUGUAAGGGUGAAAGGUAUAAGUGAUAAGAAUGAAAUAUUGAGUCCAUAAGAAAGUAUGGAUUGACAAUGUAUGAAUGCAAUGUUUGAAUCCGCGAGACGGAUUCAAGGAAUGAAAGAUAUGAAUGCAAUGCUUGAAUCCGCGAGACGGAUUCAAGGAAUGAAAGAUAUGAAUGCAAUGCUUGAGUCCGCGAGACGGAUUCAAGGAUGAAAGAUGUGAAUGCAAUGCUUGAAUCCGCGAAACGGAUUCAAAGAAUGAAAGAUACGAAUGAUGCAAAUCCCUUGCGGAUUUGGUUAUGCUAAAGAAGGUUAUGAUAAGCUAUGCAAGUCGACCGGUUCAAGUUGAACAAGUCGAGUAAGGAUAGGGUACCAUCCGUUUAGAACGGGUGGUCGUGAAUGCAAUAAUAAAUGUAUGAAGCUCAACCCGUUAUACGGAUAGAACGAAAUAUUUAUGUUGAACACAAUUAACUCGAUGUUACCGAGUCGUAAGUGGUAUGCUUGAAUCUCAUUAUGAGAAUAUAUGCCAUUACCCAUUUAAUUGGAUACUCGAAUGCGUAAAAGAAAUGAAAGUAUAUAAGCGAAUGGAACUAAAAUAUUGGUAUUGUAAGCGAAAUAAGUAUUAUGACUAACCUUUAAAACGGGAAGGGUAAGUAUUUGCAAGAAAACACUGGAACAGUGAAGUUAUGAGGUCGUAAGCAUGUUUGAAUUAAAAAAAAAAAAAGAGUACAAACGUGUACUUCGAUACGCAUGUAUAUAAUAAGAAAUAAGUGGCAGUUGACCUUGAAAAGUCAAACUGCAGAAGCUGAGAAAUAAUUUGUUUCAAACCAAGUGAGUGCUAGAGAAGAAAGGAAAUGUGUAGUGUAGUACACCAAAUGAGUUAAAGAAUUACGAAAUAAUGAUUAUGUGUUUACCCGUCAAGAACGGGUCAAACAAUGAGAAUGAUAUAUAUAUUAAGAAAUGGUCAUGUAUUGACCCGUUAUGAAUAGGUUUAACACACUAGUGCUUUAAAAAGAAUCUUGGAAGUAGUAAUAUGUAAACAAGGAGAAGUAAUAAACAUCAUGUUUAAAUGAACUUGAAUGAAAUGUGAUAAUCCCCAAUCUUAUAAUGAGUAUGGCAGAUAUCAUAGUGUGCUAAACCUAUCAAGGUCAGUGAAAGAAUGUUCAUAAGCGAAAGCUCGUCACACAGAUGAACGAGGUCAAUACGAAACAUGGUAUGGAAUGGUGACGAAGAGGACCGACUCGUUGCUGCAUGUUCAAGUACUGCACCAAGGUAGUAAGGUUAGCAAAUUAUUUAAUAUAUGAAGGUACGAUGCUUGAAUCCCUCAAACCUACGCUCUCGUGAAAGUGUGUUCGUUUCUAAGCGCCACACAAGUAAGUGAUUUAAGGAUUUCGAGCUAUGCUUUUAGAUGAAAACGGAAAUGGGUUAUGGAUAAAUUACUAUUAUAACCUGGGUUGGGACGUUAUGGGAUGUUAGGGAAGGUUUCGGGACUGCCCGAGACCAUUUCUGGUUGGAAAAAGGACCCGGGAACAAAAAAAUUUUGGUCAAACAGCGUCUGCACAGCAGAGAGCCCGUCGGCGACGGCCUUUAUGCCGUCGGCGACGGCACCCCUCCACCAGACGCGCUAACUGUCUGUCUACGGGCAAUGUUUAGCGACGGGACCUUCCCGAGCCCGUCGGCGACGCACCAUGUGCCGUCGGCGACGGGUCCCCCUUAUCUUCUUAUGCUGAAAUUGUUUGUUUAUUAGGCUAAGGUCCCUAAUUCAGUUCUAGCAUUCAUUAAACACUAAGAACACCCCAGAUUGAUGAUGAAGCUAGGAAAUUCAAGACAACUAUCGUGUUUUAAUGAUGAAUGUGUGGGAAGUUAUGUAUGCGAACGAAUGAAAUAAGUAACACAUCUAGAAUGUUUGUAAAGAAAGAUUGGGUAAGUUUAUAAAAAAAUUUACACUAUCAUUGAAAAAGUACCUCCAUAGGAAUAGGUAUGAUAUGUUUAAUAUGUACGAAUGAACGAGAUUGUAUGCGGAAAUGAAUAAAUUAAUGAUGACUAGGGAUUGGUUUUCGCAAGGAAGUUUGAAAUCUUGAUAAGUAUGAAUAAUAUAUCAGGAUGCUAGUUUCAAAUUAUGGACUAUGGGAUCUGUGAUUAGGCAAAUUCUCACAACAUGCUUAUGUAAGUCGUCCAAGGUAACUUGAAUGAGUGAGGGAACGAAGAAUAAAACUAGACGGGUUGUAGAAGAAAAGAAAGAGGUUUCGGGGACGAAACCUUCUUUAAGGGGGGUAGAUUUGUAACACCCCAAAACUCGAAUUAUUAAAUUCGUAGGAAUGUCACCAUGUGUAAUUAAAUAAAAUACAAUAACUAAGUUAUUAAACUUAGUUAAAUGCCUAAUAAACAAGUUAAGGAAUGAAACUUGUGGCAACUGUAAUGGAAUGGUAAACUUGAGGGACUUAGAUUGCCAAAAAGAAAAUAUAUUUUAUUAAAACAAAAAAAAAAUCACACACACAAGGUGUGUGUCUGCGUACGAUCGCAGGAGAAGGGGAAAAAGGGGGUGUAAACCCUAACCACAAAAAAAAUCAUCAAUUGAAAAGGAAAUCGCGGGUUGAUUGUGUGCAUGAACCAAGAAUGAUGAUCCCUUAAGCGUUUCUCACAUCAAGAACGUGUCAAGGAGAGGUCAAGCAUAGGAGGAUAACGGGUCAAGAUAAGGCAAGGUGACAAAUACACUUAUUGGAGUACUCGAGGUAAGUGAAUUUCGAUUCACUUUUUAGUAGGUUUAAUAGAUUUUAAUACUUAUGUUUACGAAACAUCAUGAAAGAACAUGUAAUAAUCAGAAGUACAAAGCCAAUAAUGCCUCAUUAUUGAAGAAGGUUGUAUUUAAGCCGAAAGUAAAUUGGUGGGUUUAAACGGGUCGAAUUUUAUGUGCAUAUGUUGCGUAAUGUAAUGAAAUUCGUUAUGGUUAAGACCUUGGGUAAGAAUUUUUAGUCAUUAUGUAAGGGGAACAUUUCCCGGACCAUUAGGAACAAGUUUUAUAUGAUUCGGUUGUCGGUUAGUGAAUGAACGGAUUGUUUCGUGUUAGUGUAGGAAAUUUUAUAAGUAUAUGUGUAUAGGAAUCCAAAGGGCACGUGGGUUGAAUCAUAGAUUGUCUAUACUAUGUAAAGUUGUGAAUGUGACAUUCCGGCAUAAACCUACAUGUAAAAGAAGCUUGUGUAUAUAUUCGUGAUUAAUUGAUUGUGCGUAGGAAGGAACACUGGCAUGUAUGAAGGUACGCAUGUAUAUAUAUAAGUGUAUAUAUAUAUAUAUAUAUGUAUGUAUGUAUGAUAAUAAGUACGUAGGUGUGAAUGUGUGUGUGUGAAUGAAUGUUCAAUGCUUAAGACAUAUGCAUGAACGUUAUCAAAGUGUUCGAGUAUUUAUGGAUACUAAUGAUGUGCGUUGAGUUGGAAUGUAAUGUAGGUAUGGGAUCGUUGGCUUCAUGAAGAAAUGGAGCUGGAUUUGGAUAAGAGUAUUUAAGAAAGCGCUUGGACAAUUCCACGACUACUUUAUAGAAUGCUCUACGAAAUUCUAUUAUAUAGUUUAAUGUUGUAUGGUAUGUUAAUGACUAAUGGUUUGGUUGUACGUGGUGUCCACAGGUAUCGCUUGGGUUUUCUCUACAUUUAUUGAAGUGAAGCGGACUUAGUUCGAGUUGAGAGCAAGGAUUGUACGGGGUAGAAUGGUCACAUAGUGUAACUCAUAUAGGUUUUGAAGUAUUAACGUUAUAAAUCCGUUUUAAUGAAUAUAUGGCAUUUCGCAUUUGAACCUUCAUGUGUUUGAUAUGUCUAUUAAAGAACGAAAUUUUUGGGCUCUUGUUUUCUGCUGCGUCGUAUUUUAAGUUAUUACGCGUUAGUCUUACAGGGAAUUGUUCUUAUUACGAACGGGUCAUGCCCGAAUUUUGUUAAAUAAUAGUAUGAUAAUAUUACAUUUUGGAAUGUGUAAUUUGGGCGUAACAAGUUGGUAUCAGAGCCCAGGUUUGAGAGAAUCAAGUAACGGGAGGUAAAUACUUGAACUCAAACCGGUGGGCUCUCGUGACCAAGAGCCCGUACAAUCCAAGACUCGAUCGAGGCCUAAAGGCAAAAGCGAAUGUAAGUAAGUAUUAGAUUAUGUAAUUGAAGGAAACUAAUAGUAUGUUAUGUGAAGGGUAAGCGCAAUUGUUGGGAGAGAUGAACUGUGAAUGCGGUCUGGGACCGGCAUCAAGGCAAGUAAUGAGGCGAAUUGACCCCAGGUACGUAAAUCUAACGUGUGGGCGUAUGAAAUGGUACAGUUAACUAAGUGAAAGAAAAAUUUUAAACAAAUUAUAAUAACGACAUGGUAAAUAAGUUUUGAAAAUGUCACACAUGCCGAAACUAAAUCCUUCGGACAUAAGGUGGCGAUUACGCGAAGACACGAAACUAGUACAUGGAAGGUGUACCUGGCCAGUACACAAGAAACGUAUGACGUUCGUGAGACCGUGAUAAUUGUUACAGGUAUGUCCGAUAGAAUUUGGUAGCGGCUAGGUGCGUGGGUGAAAUGGGUAGUAAGACUCUCGGGAGGUUGAGAGUACUAUGUAAGGGUGAAAGGUAUAAGUUAUAAGAAUGAAAUAUUGAGUCCAUAAGAAAGUAUGGAUUGACAAUGUAUGAAUGCAAUGUUUGAAUCCGCGAGACGGAUUCAAGGAAUGAAAGAUAUGAAUGCAAUGCUUGAAUCCGCGAGACGGAUUCAAGGAAUGAAAGAUAUGAAUGCAAUGCUUGAGUCCGCGAGACGGAUUCAAGGAUGAAAGAUGUGAAUGCAAUGCUUGAAUCCGCGAAACGGAUUCAAAGAAUGAAAGAUACGAAUGAUGCAAAUCCCUUGCGGAUUUGGUUAUGCUAAAGAAGGUUAUGAUAAGCUAUGCAAGUCGACCGGUUCAAGUUGAACAAGUCGAGUAAGGAUAGGGUACCAUCCGUUUAGAACGGGUGGUCGUGAAUGCAAUAAUAAAUGUAUGAAGCUCAACCCGUUAUACGGAUAGAACGAAAUAUUUAUGUUGAACACAAUUAACUCGAUGUUACCGAGUCGUAAGUGGUAUGCUUGAAUCUCAUUAUGAGAAUAUAUGCCAUUACCCAUUUAAUUGGAUACUCGAAUGCGUAAAAGAAAUGAAAGUAUAUAAGCGAAUGGAACUAAAAUAUUGGUAUUGUAAGCGAAAUAAGUAUUAUGACUAACCUUUAAAACGGGAAGGGUAAGUAUUUGCAAGAAAACACUGGAACAGUGAAGUUAUGAGGUCGUAAGCAUGUUUGAAUUAAAAAAAAAAAAAGAGUACAAACGUGUACUUCAAUACGCAUGUAUAUAAUAAGAAAUAAGUGGCAGUUGACCUUGAAAAGUCAAACUGCAGAAGCUGAGAAAUAAUUUGGUUUCAAACCAAGUGAGUGCUAGAGAAGAAAGGAAAUGUGUAGUGUAGUACACCAAAUGAGUUAAAGAAUUACGAAAUAAUGAUUAUGUGUUUACCCGUCAAGAACGGGUCAAACAAUGAGAAUGAUAUAUAUAUUAAGAAAUGGUCAUGUAUUGACCCGUUAUGAAUAGGUUUAACACACUAGUGCUUUAAAAAGAAUCUUGGAAGUAGUAAUAUGUAAACAAGGAGAAGUAAUAAACAUCAUGUUUAAAUGAACUUGAAUGAAAUGUGAUAAUCCCCAAUCUUAUAAUGAGUAUGGCAGAUAUCAUAGUGUGCUAAACCUAUCAAGGUCAGUGAAAGAAUGUUCAUAAGCGAAAGCUCGUCACACAGAUGAACGAGGUCAAUACGAAACAUGGUAUGGAAUGGUGACGAAGAGGACCGACUCGUUGCUGCAUGUUCAAGUACUGCACCAAGGUAGUAAGGUUAGCAAAUUAUUUAAUAUAUGAAGGUACGAUGCUUGAAUCCCUCAAACCUACGCUCUCGUGAAAGUGUGUUCGUUUCUAAGCGCCACACAAGUAAGUGAUUUAAGGAUUUCGAGCUAUGCUUUUAGAUGAAAACGGAAAUGGGUUAUGGAUAAAUUACUAUUAUAACCUGGGUUGGGACGUUAUGGGAUGUUAGGGAAGGUUUCGGGACUGCCCGAGACCAUUUCUGGUUGGAAAAAGGACCCGGGAACAAAAAAAUUUUGGUCAAACAGCGUCUGCACAGCAGAGAGCCCGUCGGCGACGGCCUUUAUGCCGUCGGCGACGGCACCCCUCCACCAGACGCGCUAACUGUCUGUCUACGGGCAAUGUUUAGCGACGGGACCUUCCCGAGCCCGUCGGCGACGCACCAUGUGCCGUCGGCGACGGGUCCCCCUUAUCUUCUUAUGCUGAAAUUGUUUGUUUAUUAGGCUAAGGUCCUUAAUUCAGUUCUAGCAUUCAUUAAACACUAAGAACACCCCAGAUUGAUGAUGAAGCUAGGAAAUUCAAGACAACUAUCGUGUUUUAAUGAUGAAUGUGUGGGAAGUUAUGUAUGCGAACGAAUGAAAUAAGUAACACAUCUAGAAUGUUUGUAAAGAAAGAUUGGGUAAGUUUAUAAAAAAAUUUACACUAUCAUUGAAAAAGUACCUCCAUAGGAAUAGGUAUGAUAUGUUUAAUAUGUACGAAUGAACGAGAUUGUAUGCGGAAAUGAAUAAAUUAAUGAUGACUAGGGAUUGGUUUUCGCAAGGAAGUUUGAAAUCUUGAUAAGUAUGAAUAAUAUAUCAGGAUGCUAGUUUCAAAUUAUGGACUAUGGGAUCUGUGAUUAGGCAAAUUCUCACAACAUGCUUAUGUAAGUCGUCCAAGGUAACUUGAAUGAGUGAGGGAACGAAGAAUAAAACUAGACGGGUUGUAGAAGAAAAGAAAGAGGUUUCGGGGACGAAACCUUCUUUAAGGGGGGUAGAUUUGUAACACCCCAAAACUCGAAUUAUUAAAUUCGUAGGAAUGUCACCAUGUGUAAUUAAAUAAAAUACAAUAACUAAGUUAUUAAACUUAGUUAAAUGCCUAAUAAACAAGUUAAGGAAUGAAACUUGUGGCAACUAUAAUGGAAUGGUAAACUUGAGGGACUUAGAUUGCCAAAAAGAAAAUAUAUUUUAUUAAAACAAAAAAAAAAUCACACACACAAGGUGUGUGUCUGCGUACGAUCGCAGGAGAAGGGGAAAAAGGGGGUGUAAACCCUAACCACAAAAAAAAUCAUCAAUUGAAAAGGAAAUCGCGGGUUGAUUGUGUGCAUGAACCAAGAAUGAUGAUCCCUUAAGCGUUUCUCACAUCAAGAACGUGUCAAGGAGAGGUCAAGCAUAGGAGGAUAACGGGUCAAGAUAAGGCAAGGUGACAAAUACACUUAUUGGAGUACUCGAGGUAAGUGAAUUUCGAUUCACUUUUUAGUAGGUUUAAUAGAUUUUAAUACUUAUGUUUACGAAACAUCAUGAAAGAACAUGUAAUAAUCAGAAGUACAAAGCCAAUAAUGCCUCAUUAUUGAAGAAGGUUGUAUUUAAGCCGAAAGUAAAUUGGUGGGUUUAAACGGGUCGAAUUUUAUGUGCAUAUGUUGCGUAAUGUAAUGAAAUUCGUUAUGGUUAAGACCUUGGGUAAGAAUUUUUAGUCAUUAUGUAAGGGGAACAUUUCCCGGACCAUUAGGAACAAGUUUUAUAUGAUUCGGUUGUCGGUUAGUGAAUGAACGGAUUGUUUCGUGUUAGUGUAGGAAAUUUUAUAAGUAUAUGUGUAUAGGAAUCCAAAGGGCACGUGGGUUGAAUCAUAGAUUGUCUAUACUAUGUAAAGUUGUGAAUGUGACAUUCCGGCAUAAACCUACAUGUAAAAGAAGCUUGUGUAUAUAUUCGUGAUUAAUUGAUUGUGCGUAGGAAGGAACACUGGCAUGUAUGAAGGUACGCAUGUAUAUAUAUAAGUGUAUAUAUAUAUGUAUGUAUGUAUGAUAAUAAGUACGUAGGUGUGAAUGUGUGUGUGUGAAUGAAUGUUCAAUGCUUAAGACAUAUGCAUGAACGUUAUCAAAGUGUUCGAGUAUUUAUGGAUACUAAUGAUGUGCGUUGAGUUGGAAUGUAAUGUAGGUAUGGGAUCGUUGGCUUCAUGAAGAAAUGGAGCUGGAUUUGGAUAAGAGUAUUUAAGAAAGCGCUUGGACAAUUCCACGACUACUUUAUAGAAUGCUCUACGAAAUUCUAUUAUAUAGUUUAAUGUUGUAUGGUAUGUUAAUGACUAAUGGUUUGGUUGUACGUGGUGUCCACAGGUAUCGCUUGGGUUUUCUCUACAUUUAUUGAAGUGAAGCGGACUUAGUUCGAGUUGAGAGCAAGGAUUGUACGGGGUAGAAUGGUCACAUAGUGUAACUCAUAUAGGUUUUGAAGUAUUAACGUUAUAAAUCCGUUUUAAUGAAUAUAUGGCAUUUCGCAUUUGAACCUUCAUGUGUUUGAUAUGUCUAUUAAAGAACGAAAUUUUUGGGCUCUUGUUUUCCGCUGCGUCGUAUUUUAAGUUAUUACGCGUUAGUCUUACAGGGAAUUGUUCUUAUUACGAACGGGUCAUGCCCGAAUUUUGUUAAAUAAUAGUAUGAUAAUAUUACAUUUU